CAGUCGCCGCGGUAAUACGGAGGACGCAAGCGUUAUCCGGAAUUAUUGGGCGUAAAGCGCGCGUAGGCGGUUUUUUAAGUCUGAUGUGAAAGCCCACGGCUCAACCGUGGAGGGUCAUUGGAAACUGGAAAACUUGAGUGCAGAAGUGGAAAGUGGAAUUCCAUGUGUAGCGGUGAAAUGCGCAGAGAUAUGGAGGAACACCAGUGGCGAAGGCGACUUUCUGGUCUGUAACUGACGCUGAUGUGCGAAAGCGUGGGGAUCAAACAGGAUUAGAUACCCCCGUAGUCCCUGUCUCUUAUAC
rnacentral:rRNA from 1 species